rnacentral:rRNA from 1 species
ACUCCUACGGGAGGCAGCAGUGGGGAAUAUUGCACAAUGGGCGCAAGCCUGAUGCAGCCAUGCCGCGUGUGGUGAAGAAGGCCUUCGGGUUGUAAAGCACUUUCAGUCGUGAGGAAGGUAGUGUAGUUAAUAGCUGCAUUAUUUGACGUUAGCGACAGAAGAAGCACCGGCUAACUCCGUGCACAGGCCGCGGUAAUACGGAGGGUGCGAGCAGUUAAUCGGAAUUACUGGGCGUAAAGCGCAUGCAGGUGGUUUGUUAAGUCAGAU